rnacentral:rRNA from 1 species
CAGCCGCCACGGUAAUACGAAGGGGGCUAGCGUUGUUCGGAUUUACUGGGCGUAAAGGGCGCGUAGGCGGACUGAUAAGUCAGGGGUGAAAUCCCAAGGCUCAACCUUGGAACUGCCUUUGAUACUGUUUGUCUUGAGUUCGAGAGAGGUAAGUGGAACUGCGAGUGUAGAGGUGAAAUUCGUAGAUAUUCGCAAGAACACCAGUGGCGAAGGCGGCUUACUGGCUCGAAACUGACGCUGAGGCGCGAAGGCGUGGGGAGCAAACAGGAUUAGAUACCCCAGUAGUCCCUGUCUCUUAUAC